UCCUUUAGAGAUAGAGGAGUGCUCGAAAGAGAGCCGUAACACAGGUGCUGCAUGGCUGUCGUCAGCUCGUGUCGUGAGAUGUUGGGUUAAGUCCCGCGACGAGCGCAACCCUUGUCAUUAGUUGCUACAUUUGGUUGGGCACUCUAAUGAGACUGCCGGUGACAAGCCGGAGGAAGUGGGGAUGACGUCAAGUCCUCAUGGCCCUUAUAGGUGGGGCUACACACGUCAUACAAUGGCUGGUACAAAGGGUUGCCAACCCGCGAGGGGGAGCUAAUCCCACAAAGCCAGUCGUAGUCCGGAUCGUAGUCUGCAACUCGACUACGUGAAGUCGGAAUCGCUAGUAAUCGUGGAUCAGAAUGUCACGGUGAAUACGUUCCCGGGUCUU
rnacentral:rRNA from 1 species